AUUGAACGCUGGCGGCAUGCCUUACACAUGCAAGUCGAACGGCAGCAUGAUCUAGCUUGCUAGAUUGAUGGCGAGUGGCGAACGGGUGAGUAAUACAUCGGAACGUGCCCUGUAGUGGGGGAUAACUAGUCGAAAGAUUAGCUAAUACCGCAUACGACCUGAGGGUGAAAGUGGGGGACCGCAAGGCCUCAUGCUAUAGGAGCGGCCGAUGUCUGAUUAGCUAGUUGGUGAGGUAAAGGCUCACCAAGGUGACGAUCAGUAGCUGGUCUGAGAGGACGAUCAGCCACACUGGGACUGAGACACGGCCCAGACUCCUACGGGAGGCAGCAGUGGGGAAUUUUGGACAAUGGGCGAAAGCCUGAUCCAGCAAUGCCGCGUGUGUGAAGAAGGCCUUCGGGUUGUAAAGCACUUUUGUCCGGAAAGAAAUGGCUCUGGUUAAUACCUGGGGUCGAUGACGGUACCGGAAGAAUAAGGACCGGCUAACUACGUG
rnacentral:rRNA from 1 species